GUUUUGCAGAAAACUGCCUGACUCCUACACGUUCUGUCUCCAGCAGUUGUUUGUCUGAGGCAUGGACAAUGACUGUUUAAAUCUGCUCUGGACUGAAAAACCUCAGCACUGAGGGCUCACACCUGCGGCCCACUGGGCCUGGACCUCCAGAGGGACUGGGACUGAUGAGAGACUGAGCUGAGCUACCCAUGGCAAGGAUUUUCUCAAGUUUGCCAUCUCUCUUUGGAGUGGAAAGAGGAUUUAUUGUUUCAUAUUAUUCAUUCUUUAUGCUUGUGGGCAUUUUGUUUGUUAAAUAAAUAGUUUUUUCCA